UACGAAGGGGGCUAGCGUUGCUCGGAAUCACUGGGCGUAAAGGGUGCGUAGGCGGGUCUUUAAGUCAGGGGUGAAAUCCUGGAGCUCAACUCCAGAACUGCCUUUGAUACUGAAGAUCUUGAGUUCGGGAGAGGUGAGUGGAACUGCGAGUGUAGAGGUGAAAUCUGUAGAUAUCGAGAGGAACACCGGUGGCGAAGGCGGCUUCCUGGCCCGUAUCUGACGCUGAGGCGCGAAAGCGUGGGGAGCAAACAGG
rnacentral:rRNA from 1 species